rnacentral:lncRNA from 1 species
CUCUCAGACAUAUUCUCUGGCAUCGAAACACUCCGUGGUGACUUCAAGAAGCUAGCCUGGUGGGUGUCCAGGUGGUGCAGGGGAAGGCCUGGGGCUACCAGUUGCUCAAAACCUGAGGAGGUAAUAAGGAAAGACCCGAUUUGUGAAACACCCAUGGAUGACACUUCUCUCCACAAAACUGGUAUCCCACAGUGCACUUAUUGUUGGGUCCAUGAGGGGCAUGCUCUUUGCUUGGGAGGCACCACUAGCACUUUGUCCUGCAAGGACCAGAAGAAGACUGAAAGACUGAAUCCAAGUGAACAGUAGUGCAGUUGAAGGAACUAGACAAGCAGCAAUGAAAGAUGUUGGAGAAGACGUGAGUAGAAGACUUAGAAGAAGAAAUGGAUGCCUGUGGAAGGAAAACAAAUACAAGUAAAAACGAUGAGAUGGGCUGUCCAUGAAGAAUGAGAGAAGAUAUUGUGAAAGCUGAAGCUGAAGAGAACUUUACUGUCUAAGAGUUUUCAGAGAAAAGGGAGGUCUUUUAUAUCAAUAACCAAACAAAGCUCCCCCACCAUUUUUUUAAACCAAGGAAGAGAGAAAUUAGAAUAUGAAUUUGAUGAACAGGGGCACAGACAGGUCUUGGUUCUGCAGGAUGAGGUUUGAUUCAUCUGGAAAACAACGCCAGGCUGAAGCCAUGCACUUAGGAGAGAAAAAAGGAAACAAAGAUCCAGUGGUCAGCCGAAGCUUGUUCGUUUCUCUGUACUGUGAGAUUCCCACUGCAUCAGGAGGCAGUAUAUCAGAAAAAGAAAGUUCGGAACUGGGAAGAUGAAGACUUUUAUGAGAGUGAUGAUGACAUAUUCUUUCAUUCAGCUGACCUGGUUGAGAAGUGUCUGAAUCAAAUUAUAAAGGCUGGGAAGAUUGAUGAGAAGGCAGAGACCUUUGCAUUACUGGUUGCAAAGUUAAAUGAUGCUGAAAUCUGAAGCCUCAAGCAAAGUUCUAUCAGAAUCACAAUCUCAGGCUUCUUUAGAUGUGUUCAUGUCAGAAGUGAAAUAGAGAAAUUCAUUCAUUAAAUGGUAUGUCCCAGAAGAAAUUUUGAGAACUUUGAACUGAUGAAACUAUAGAGACUUAAAGGAUUGAUAAAAAUUGUAAAGCCAGCAGAGACCUCAGAACUAAACAUGAUUGAAAAUUAGACUAAAGAUGCACACGAAAAGCUACAAAGCUUAAAAUAUCCAAAAGAUGAUCCCAGUUACUAUGGAUGAGUCCUCCCUGACUCCAAAACG